CGCCCGCCGCUCCUACCGAUUGGGUGUGCUGGUGAAGUGUUCGGAUUGGCGUCUGGGGACGGUUUCCGCCUCCAGUUGCCGAGAAGUUCAUUAAACCCUCCCACCUAGAGGAAGGAGAAGUCGUAACAAGGUUUCC
rnacentral:rRNA from 1 species